rnacentral:rRNA from 1 species
CUGGUUGAUCCUGCCAGUAGUCAUAUGCUUGUCUCAAAGAUUAAGCCAUGCAUGUCUCAGUGCAAGCCAUAUUAAGGUGAAACCGCGAAAGGCUCAUUAAAUCAGUUAUGGUUCAUUGGAUGGUACACAGUUACUUGGAUAACUGUGGUAAUUCUAGAGCUAAUACAUGCAAACUGAGUCCCGACCAUUCAUUUGGCAGGGAUGCUUUUAUUAGAUCAAAACCAAUCAGACCUUUUGGGUCUGUUGCUCUUGGUGACUCUGAAUAACUUUGGGCUGAUCGCAUGGUCUCGUACCGGCGACGCAUCUUUCAAAUGUCUGACUUAUCAACUUUCGAUGGUAGGCUCUGCGCCUAUUACGGUUGUAACGGGUAACGGGGAAUCAGGGUUCGAUUCCGGAGAGGGAGCCUGAGAAACGGGUACCACAUCCAAGGAAGGCAGCAGGCGCGCAAAUUACCCACUCCCAGCACGGGGAGGUAGUGACGAAAAAUAACGAUGCAGAACUCAUUCCGAGGCUCUGCAAUCGGAAUGAGAACACUCUAAAUCAUUUAACGAGUAUCCAUUGGAGGACAAGUCUGGUGCCAGCAGCCGCGG